GGUGGGGGGGGGGGGGGGGGGGGGGAUAUGGGGCCGGGGUAUGGGGCCGCGCUAUGGGGCCAUGAUAUGAGGUCGUGCUAUGGGGCCGCGCUAUGGGGCCGUGCUAUGGGGCCGCGCUAUGGGGCCAUGAUGUGAGGUCAUGCUAUGGGGCCGUGCUAUGAGGCCGCGCUAUGGGGCUGUGCUAUGGGGCUGCGCUAUGAGGCCACGCUAUGGGGCCAUGCUGUGCUAUGGGGCCAUGAUAUGAGGUCAUGCUAUGGGGCUGUGCUAUGGGGCCGCGCUAUGGGGCUGCGCUAUGGGGCCGCGCUAUGGGGCCGCGCUAUGGGGCUGUGCUAUGGAGCCGCGCUAUGGGGCCGCGCUAUGGGGCCAUGAUAUGAGGUCAUGCUAUGGGGCCGCGCUAUGGGGCCGCGCUAUGGGGCCAUGAUAUGAGGUCAUGCUAUGGGGCUGCGCUAUGGGGCCACACUAUGGGGCCAUGAUAUGGGGCCGUGCUAUGGGGCUGCGCUAUGGGGCCGCGCUAUGGGGCCGCGCUGACCCCCUCCCCACCACCAGGUGCACGUGGACCAGGAGCUGCUGAUCUACGAAGCCUUCAGCCACGACUCCCAGCUGGGGCAGAGCAACCUCAAAGAGCGCUUCAAGAAGGUGCCCCACAACAUCAAUUUCCGCGAGCGGAAGCCGAAGCAGUCCAAGAAGAAGCCGGAGAGCGCGGGGGGCGCCGAGGAGCCGGGGGGGCCGCGGGGCCGCGUGGCCAGGUUCCGCUACUUCGAGGACAUCUACGGCUACUCGGGGGUGAGAUUUUUUUUGGGGGGGGGGCACCCCAAUAUUUGGGGACAUCCCCCAAUAGCUGGGGGCACCCCAAUAUCUGGGGGCACCCCAAUAUCUGGGGGCUAUCUGGGGGCACCCCCAUCUGGGGGCACCCAGCCAUCGUCAUCGCCAUCAAUGUGGGGACCCCCCCCAAUCAAUGUGGGGACCCCCCCCCCUAAAUUUGAGGACCGUUUCCCAUCAAUUUCAGGGUCCCCCCAUUAAUAGGGACCCCCCCCAAAAAAAAUUGGGGACCCCACCCAUCAAUUUUAGGAUCCCCCAAUCCAUGCAGUGACCCUCCCCAAAUUUGGGGACUCCUCCCCAUCAGUUUCAGGAUCCCCCCAUCAACUUGGGGACCCCCCCCCCCCCCCAG
rnacentral:lncRNA from 1 species